rnacentral:rRNA from 1 species
AUCGAACGCUGGCGGCAGGCCUAACACAUGCAAGUCGAGCGGAGCGGCGGACGGGUGAGUAAUGCCUAGGAAUCUGCCUGGUAGUGGGGGAUAACGUCCGGAAACGGGCGCUAAUACCGCAUACUAUCAGAUGAGCCUAGGUCGGAUGAGCUAGUUGGUGGGGUAAAGGCUUACCAAGGUGACGAUCCGUAACUGGGCUGAGAGGAUGAUCAGUCACACUGGAACUGAGACACGGUCCAGACUCCUACGGUAGGCAGCAGUGGGGAAUAGUGGACAAUGGGCGAAAGCCUGAUCCAGCAAUGCCGCGUGAGUGAAGAAGGUCUUCGGAUUGUAAAGCUCUUUAAGUUGGGAGGCGUUACCAACAGAGUAAGCACCGGCUAACUUCGUGCCAGCAGCCGCGGUAAUAC